GAUGAACGCUGGCGGCGUGCCUAAUACAUGCAAGUCGAGCGAACAGACGAGGAGCUUGCUCCUCUGACGUUAGCGGCGGACGGGUGAGUAACACGUGGAUAACCUACCUAUAAGACUGGGAUAACUUCGGGAAACCGGAGCUAAUACCGGAUAAUAUAUUGAACCGCAUGGUUCAAUAGUGAAAGACGGUUUUGCUGUCACUUAUAGAUGGAUCCGCGCCGCAUUAGCUAGUUGGUAAGGUAACGGCUUACCAAGGCAACGAUGCGUAGCCGACCUGAGAGGGUGAUCGGCCACACUGGAACUGAGACACGGUCCAGACUCCUACGGGAGGCAGCAGUAGGGAAUCUUCCGCAAUGGGCGAAAGCCUACGGAGCAACGCCGCGUGAGUGAUGAAGGUCUUCGGAUCGUAAAACUCUGUUAUUAGGGAAGAACAAAUGUGUAAGUAACUAUGCACGUCUUGACGGUACCUAAUCAGAAAGCCACGGCUAACUACGUG
rnacentral:rRNA from 1 species